rnacentral:rRNA from 1 species
UAGCCAGACUCCUACGGGAGGCAGCAGUGGGGGAUAUUGCACAAUGGGGGGAACCCUGAUGCAGCGACGCCGCGUGGGUGAAGGAGUGCUUCGGCAUGUAAAACUCUAUAAGCAGGGAAGAAGAAGGACGGUACCUGACUAAGAAGCCCCGGCUAACUACGUGCCAGCAGCCGCGGUAAUACGUAGGGGGCGAGCGUUAUCCGGAUUUACUGGGUGUAAAGGGAGCGUAGACGGUUAAUCAAGUCUGAAGUGAAAGCCCGCGGCUCAACUGCGGAACGGCUUUGGAAACUGAGUAACUGGAGUGCUGGAGGGGCAGGCGUAAUUCCUGGUGUAGCGGUGAAAUGCGUAGAUAUCAGGAGGAACACCUGUGGCGAAGGCGGCCUGCUGGACAGUAACUGACGUUGAGGCUCGAAAGCGUGU